rnacentral:rRNA from 1 species
GAUUUCUGGUACGGCGCACUUGGCCCGCUUCGGUUACGAGGUCGAGUGCCGGUGUGCGCCUGCCAUCCUUCUGGAAUACGACUCUCCCUUCACUGGGUUGGGCCGGAAUCCAGAUCAUUUACUUUGAAAAAAUUAGAGUGUUUAAAGCAGGCUUACGCUAUGAAUACAUUAGCAUGGAAUAAUAAUUUAGGACUUUGGUCUUAUUUUGUUGGUUUCUAGGACUAAAGUAAUGAUUGAUAGGGAUAGUUGGGGGUGCUAGUAUUCAGCGGCCAGAGGUGAAAUUCUUGGAUUCGCUGAAGACUAACUUAUGCGAAAGCAUU